ACCCUACCUCUUCUUCCCAAAGACACUCAGUGUCCGUGAUGUCUGUCCUCACAGGGUAUUCGCUCCUCGGGGAGUCCAGGAGAUCGCAUACGCCCAUCGGAUAUCACGCGCCACACACCGUGCACACCGAUCAUAACGAAUCAUCGAUGAAGUAUUCACGUUAUUUGCACACACUUCCCCGAGAGUAACUCUCAUAACUGCGUAGCACUGGUGGCGACUGGUCAGUCACUGUAUAUAUUCAGUAUAGGGCAGUGGAGAACGUGUAAACGUGUUAACCUACCAAGUAUAGAAAGGGAGGGAGGUGCAAGAGGGAUGGUAGGAGUAACCAAGACAAGACAGACGCUGUAGGAAGAACCCCGAGGCUGCAGGAAUGGAAUAACGUGGAAGCAGCGGCAAACGGCGGCCGUGCUGGACGGAAAUCGACAGAAGCGAGCACGAGCCACAACACAACACGGAUAACUGUAUCCACACGGCUUUCACUCCCACCUGGUGAUUUCGUUCGCUGGCAGAAGUGCUAGUACCGUCAUUUGACUCGUGCUGUUCGCGAUUUACUUAUCCGCAACUGACAAUCAGCCGAGAACCUAAGCCAACCGGAGGUUUCGUUUAUGAACAGAAAUUGACUUACGACUCUGGCUUCAGCGAUCGCGGACGAUUACGUACUAGCUCGAAUACCGGUACUACGGAGUACAUUCGAAGGUUGCAUUCUCGCCUGCCUCUCGGAGUCCUCCACCUCCUUCUACUCACCUGGGGUAUUUACCUGGCGAAGGCGAACUCGCACGAACGUAUACGGACUUUACCGAGGAAACGGCGCUCUCGUAUUUGAACCACGCCGAUGUAGCGAUCGCUCCAGAUCGACUACGCUUCGAACUGUUAUUUGUUGUAUUUUUACAAAUUUCAAUGAACCUUUGGUAUUAAUUACUCUCUCCUAAAGUCUUUCUCUAUACCAGAUAUUGUUCGGUGUAUAAGUCAUACGUUUUGUCGAUAUUUUUCUGUUAGAGAUCUAAAUUUUUAAAGACCCAUUAGCGCAUUUUGAUCGCGCUUGAUUUCUUUAUUCUUCGUUUCUUCAGCAUUUCUACCAGCCACUUUUAAGGAACAGAAUGAUCCUCACCCAUUUUGUUUCCGCUUCUUCUUCGCACUCGCAGGCAUAUUGUUCGUGACUUGAUGCACUGGACAGAAAAAUAUAUUAAAGAUUAACAAAGUCACGUGACUAUGAUUACAAUCGAUUUUUAUCAUAUAACUAAUUGGAUAUAAUUUUAAUUGCUUUUAGAAUAAAAUAUUUUUGUUUCUUCACGCCAAUUCAAUGUUCAAUAUCAUUGAUGCUAUAUCUAUGCUUUUUUUUUUACAUAGUACGUAAUGUAAGCACGUGAUCAUUUUCUCUAACAGCGUUAACGUUUACAUUCGAAAUGACACGUCGAUCGUUGGUUGAUGCUAGACAUAUGAAUGAGACUAAUUCGUGUUAAAAUCACGUCCGGUGCUCGAGAACUUUCACAUUUUACGUAAAUCCGAGAGUCAGGAAAAAAAUUAACGUUUCAGAUAUUAAGAUAUUAUCAGCGAUUUGAAUACGGUGCGUAUACACAUAAACAUAUACUUUCCUCUAUCAUUCAUUUUUCUAUAGUCAAGUAAUUUUUCUGAUAGCAGUGCAAUGACCUGAUGAAUGUGCUGAAUAACUUCGGAGUGGGUCGCGUUCUCCAGGGUGCGACCGUUGACCUCCAGAAUCUCGUCGCCCACCUCCAAGCUGUCCGCAUUAUCCGCAGGGGAGCCUGCAUGAUCGAAGACACGAUCAAUUACUUGUCGAUAUUACAUUAAUGCGCACAUAUCAUUGUAUCGUAUUUACUGUCGGUUAAAAAUGUCAAAAGAUUAAACAAUUUUCAAAUCA